GACGAACGCUGGCGGCGUGCUUAACACAUGCAAGUGGAGCGACGAACCAGGCUUCGGCCUGGGGCAAAGCCGCGAACGGGUGAGUAUCACGUGGGUAACCUGCCCCGAUGACCGGGACAACCCGAGGAAACUCGGGCUAAUACCGGAUGUGCUCGCGACCCUCAAGGGUCAUGAGUAAAGGAAGCUUCGGCCUCCGCAUUGGGUUGGGCCCGCGGCCCAUUAGCUUGUUGGUGAGGUAAAGGCUCACCAAGGCCACGAUGGGUAGCUGGUCUGAGAGGACGAUCAGCCACACUGGGACUGAGACACGGCCCAGACUCCUACGGGAGGCUG
rnacentral:rRNA from 1 species